ensembl:lncRNA
CACCCCUGCUCGAUGUCAUUGUCGUUAGAGUUGUGAUGUAAUGCAUCACUGUUCUCACAGAAUUUGAAACUUUAUUAAAACAUAGGCUAUAGUUAUCAUUCUUGGUGUGAACGGGCCUUUAAUAAUCACAUUAUAGUACAUGAAGUACUCGUUGGCAGCUUUAGAGUGAGAAGUCGUCCUGAUUUGAUAGAGAUUGGUCGAAGCACUUCAUUCUGGAGAGCAGAGAGGAAAACGUGAUGAGCCAACAGGAGGCUCGGAUCAAAGAUGCAAAGUGAUGUGUGUGUGUGGAGCUACAAGGAGAAACAGAGGUCUGGUUCAACAGAACAAGAGGUUCUUAAUAAGCAUUUCCUAAUGAAGAUCGUGAUGUUGUGGUUUGGACUCCAAGAAAAACCUCUAAACCUCUAAGAACAACCAUUUUCACUAUAAGGCUCUUGAGUUGCAUUGGUUCUUGGAAGCAGUGAUGUAACAACGGCUUGAUUAGAGCUCUUCUAAUAUUGUAAAAACAGUAAUAUUCUGAAAAAAGUAUUUUUUGAUAGAAAACUGCACAUCAAGCCAUCUGAUGGUGUCUGCAAGAAGUUUGGAAUACAUUAUUUUCAUUUCUUUAAAAAAAAAAAAAAAAUGAUAGCAGUUUGGUUUUAAAAUAUUAAUAUAAGACGUCCCUUCAGUCACAAAACACUGCCAUUGCUAUGGUUUAUACCGCAGUAGUUUUCAGAAUACUCUGAUUAGAAGCAUGCAUUAACAUAAUCACAGUAUUCUGAUAACAUAAACUUUAACUUCAGCAUUAUAAGGUGAGUGUAAACCCAGCCAGUGAAACAUAAAAGCAGUGAAUUUGUGUAUGGAUUUUUCAUCACUUUAUAACGUCCUUCAUUAACAACAGAGAGACUCCUAAUAAACAUGCAGGGCAGUAUGUCACCCGGCUUUAUCUGAGAUAAGAAAGUUGUUUGAUUUUUGCAGUGCCUUUGUCAAUAGCACAGCCAACAAUGACUCAUCACAACAACAAAGACGCUGUGAAGAUCAGAGCAGGAGAAAGAUGAGACUCUGAAGCUGCCUUGAUGCGAAAUCAAAAAACCAAAGAAAUGCUGUGAAAAUCAUUAAUUGUUUUCAGGAUAAGGCACGUAAUCCAAUUUGUCUGCAGUCUUCAGACGGCGCUGUGGUGUGGAAUGAGUGAUUAGAUGCUGGAGUAUGAGCUAUUCAUCAAUGCCCAUUCAAAAUGACAGUUUGAUUAUUCUCUAAUAGAGCCGUACUGCCGCAGUCAGAAAGCAAUACUUCUGAAGACGGCAUGGCAACGGCUUCUUCCCUCCAAGGUGAUUGUUAGGCUUGUAGUCAGGUGACAGAAGGGAUGAACUGUGAUUGGUUGCGAUGACCUCUUGUCAAUAAGUGACAAGUCUACUAUGUGACAUUGUUCAAUAUGGGAGCUUGUUUCAACUGCUGAGAACAAUAUUAUAAAAACAGAGAGCAGUGGCUCAUUGCAGUCAUGGAUAGAUA